CGAAUAGCGCAGGUGCCAAACGGAGACAGCCGUUAUGGCCGACGAGGCAGAGGGUUAUCGAAUCAUCAGCGGAUGCUCUCUCGGCACACUCAUGUCGUAACAGAUAAGGCAAAAACAGUUGGUAACAGCUGCGACAAAGAUUAUCU
rnacentral:ncRNA from 1 species